GGGGAAUAUUGGACAAUGGGCGAAAGCCUGAUCCAGCCAUGCCGCGUGUGUGAAGAAGGUCUUCGGAUUGUAAAGCACUUUAAGUUGGGAGGAAGGGCUGCAAGUUAAUACCUUGUAGUUUUGACGUUACCAACAGAAUAAGCACCGGCUAACUUCGUGCCAGCAGCCGCGGUAAUACGAAGGGUGCAAGCGUUACUCGGAAUUACUGGGCGUAAAGCGUGCGUAGGUGGUGGUUUAAGUCCGUUGUGAAAGCCCUGGGCUCAACCUGGGAACUGCAUCCAAAACUGGCGAGCUAGAGUAUGGCAGAGGGUGGUGGAAUUUCCUGUGUAGCGGUGAAAUGCGUAGAUAUAGGAAGGAACACCAGUGGCGAAGGCGACCACCUGGGCUAAUACUGACACUGAGGUGCGAAAGCGUGGGGAGCAAACA
rnacentral:rRNA from 1 species